AAGGAUUCAUGGAGUUUAUAAGCAAUCACCGGCAUCAUUCGAAUAAACAAUGAAUAUACGAAGAUAAUGUGGUUGUUUAUGAAACCAACAAGCGAAAACAUUUGAACUCAUCCCAAAAAAAAACUUUGUGCGGCGAAGAAAAACAAGCUCAGGUCGAAACAAUAAGAAAAUCUCAGCAUGCAUGGACAAAUGCAAAUCAGCCAAUCCAUUCGAAAUCAAUUUGCUUGGCAUUUGUAAUGCGGCGGAUUACUCGAGCCAUUACUCAUUUCCAAUUCUUGCUAUGGUCGUCAAUUAUUCCGGAAGUCGAGCAUGAGUUGGAACGAAUCGACACGAAAUUGUCCAUUAUUAUUUACAAGACGUCCGAUCCAGACACGGGCAAGGGCAUUGAAAUAAGUUUGGGGCACUCAACAAGGAAGGGAAACAUUUGAUACAAAGCUGCGUGCAAUGACAUACUUUCGCUAGCGGCUUGACUAGAACAGCAAAACCUGCUAGACGCUAGACUACGCUACAAACCAACUCUCCACGAGCAAAUCACGCUCAGCAUGAACUCACUUUGGAAUUUUCUUUCUGCAACAUAAGCAAGCAGCUAACAUUAUGAUAAUCGUUACACUUAAAUUAAUCGUUAUGAAAAUUGAAUAAAAAACAUCAUAUUCCA